AAUAAACCAGAAAAAAUAAACCCAGAGCCCAGGCCAGUAACCCGGGGCCCAAGUCCAGGCUCUUAGUCCCCAACCCAUUACCCUAGAGAAAACCUUAGGUCACAGAUCUACCGCCUGCAUGACACCUUAUGCAUCGCCGCUGACUACCAUCAGCCCCACACCAGUGCGGCAGUCACCACCUUUGAAGUCGCUGAACAAGGGAGUCAACUUGAUAUUCCCGCCGCACCAAGCCGCAGCCAACCCAAGAGGAUGAGUCACACUUGUAAGCCCAACACCGCAGUCUUCAAGGUCUUCGUCCCCUGUCAACACAAACAGAGAGAUUAGUUCAGCACCAACCGACUCAGUAUCCUACAUCUGAGGAGUUAAGCAUUGGGAAAAUCAAGUUCAAGGCUUUUGUUUUGCAGAGAUUGCUCACAGAUAGAGUUUGGAAAGACUACCAUGCCAAGGUAUUAUUGACGAUAUAAUGUAAGAUAAUAUACUGAUAAGGCAACUGGUUUUCUGUGUAUAUGAACUGUUUAAGCUUGAAUUAUGUAAGAUGAUAUACUGAUAAGGCAACUGGUUUUCAGUUGUGUCGAUUGUUUCA